AUUAAAUGGUGGAGUAGACUUGAUGGGCCGAAUGGCUUUAUCCUGUUCCUAGUACUUUUGAACUAACGUUAAUGGUUGAUCGAUGGUCAGCCUGGACUCUGUGAACGGAAGGACCCACGCUGUAUCUUUCAAUCAAUCAAAAACGUUUGAAAUGCUUUUCAUGUUGAGUUGGGUAAUUGGUGUAAUGAGAACACCAGAUUUCCUGUAGGCUGUGGGCCGAGGAGCUUUAUUCUACUGUUUUGUGAACGCAAGUCACCAAACUACAUGAAAGUUUCACAUAUUGUGUAAAGAAAUUAUAUAAAUCACCUCUAAAACUCGUCAUGAACAAGACUUGCACAUUUUUAUUAAAUUAGAGAAAUACCAGGAAAAUGUCCGGGUAAUUUUUAGUCCCGAAAUUUAGUCGGGCAAUCAAAGCACGUUUAACAUUGAGUUGUAUGCCAGUCGACCAAUCACGCGCUUUGCUUCAGGCUAGCACACAAAAUGGCUGAGGGUCCCUCUACAGAUGCCUGUUUUACUGGAGAUUCCGAUUUGUUGUUCUGUGGAAUACAUGUCAUGGAAACUUGCAGCAUGGUAAUUGAAUUUAGGGAGAAAAGCAUUAAAAAGGCUGAAGAAUGUGCUGCGAAGUGGAUAGAAGAGGAAGAAAGUCUUGAAAGCAAAGUCGCUGCUGAGGUGCUGGAACACAAGUCUGCAAAUUAUCUGGAAGACUGGAAGACAGCCAGGAAUCAACUGGAACUGAAAGGAGGCAGCAGUGUAUCCCGGGUUACCAUGCAGAGUGCUAUCGUCACUCUGCAACAUAACAACAAUAAAUCGAGCGAUAGCAAAGUCUAGAAGGAAGAAAGUUCAAGACACUGAAAAGUCUGAAGCAGGUGAAUCACCUCAAGAGGCAGUUCCUGAUGGUGAAACAGAUGAGCCGGACCCAAAGAGACUGCUUCGAUCCAUGACAAGUCAUAGUCAACAAACAGCAACUGUCGAGCACACUGACUGCAGGCAUGUUCUACCAGCGCAUUGCAUCAUUCGUAAAUGUUCAAAGUACACAAAAUAAAUAAAUUGUGGAAAAAAAUGAUUAUAUAAAGUUUUAUUUUAAUGUGGAUCGUUUCACUGUUUAUUUGGUCAAAUUAUUUAAACAAGAGUGAAUUAUUUAUGAUAAUGGCGUGCCGGUGAAUGACUGCGACAAUCCACCCACCGAUCCACACAGACAUACAUACGCACAUCCACACACACACAU